rnacentral:rRNA from 1 species
AUCCUGGCUCAGGAUGAACGCUGGCGGUCUGCUUAACACAUGCAAGUCGAACGGGCUCUUCGGAGCUAGUGGCGGACGGGUGAGUAACGCGUGAGGACCUGCCUUCAGGAGGGGGAUAACGACUGGAAACGGUCGCUAAUACCGCAUAUGCCUACGGGUGAAAGAUUUAUUGCCUGGAGAUGAACUCGCGUCAGAUUAGCUAGUUGGUGGGGUAAGAGCCUACCAAGGCGACGAUCUGUAGCUGGUCUGAGAGGAUGAUCAGCCACACUGGGACUGAGACACGGCCCAGACUCCUACGGGAGGCAGCAGUGGGGAAUUUUCCGCAAUGGGCGCAAGCCUGACGGAGCAAGACCGCGUGCGGGAUGACGGCCUAAUGGUUGUAAACCGCUUUUCUCUGGGAAGAUGAUGACGGUACCAGAGGAAUCAGCCUCGGCUAACUCCGUGCCAACAGCCGCGGUAAUACGGAGGAGGCAAGCGUUAUCCGGAAUUAUUGGGCGUAAAGCGUCCGUAGGUGGUUAUUCAAGUCUGCUGUCAAAGCGUGGGGCUUAACUCCAUAGAGGCAGUGGAAACUGGAUGACUUGAGUGCGGUAGGGGUCGAGGGAAUUCCCAGUGUAGCGGUGAAAUGCGUAGAUAUUGGGAAGAACACCAGUGGCGAAAGCGCUCGACUGGGCCUGCACUGACACUGAGGGACGAAAGCUAGGGGAGCGAAAGGGAUUAGAUACCCCUGUAGUCCUAGCCGUAAACGAUGGAUACUAGGUGUUGCUCGUCAUCGACCCGAGCAGUGCCGUAGCCAACGCGUUAAGUAUCCCGACUGGGGAGUACGCUCGCAAGAGUGAAAACUCAAAGGAAUUGACGGGGGCCCGUACAAGCGGUGGACUAUGUGGUUUGAUUCGAUGCAACGCGAAGAACC